UAGGGAAUCUUCCACAAUGGACGCAAGUCUGAUGGAGCAACGCCGCGUGAGCGAAGAAGGGUUUCGGCUCGUAAAGCUCUGUUGUUAAAGAAGAACGUGGGUAAGAGUAACUGUUUACCCAGUGACGGUAUUUAACCAGAAAGCCACGGCUAACUACGUGCCAG
rnacentral:rRNA from 1 species